GGCAUCGCGUGUGGUCUUCGCUCUCUCUCUCUCUCUCUCUCUCUCUCUCCUCCUCCUCCUCCUCCUCCUUGCUUUGGGAGCAGAGCUCCAGCUCGACGCCAUCCCAAAUGACCAAAUCACCCUACCCUCCUCGGAGCGGCCGCUAUUUCGGAUAGCCGUUUAGUCACCACGUGGCCUAAACGAGCCCGGUUCAGUAAAAGCUGGAGAGGAGGCGUCACUUCCUCGAGCACCUCUUGUCGGAGCUGCGGCCGCGGUGGUGGCAGCUCCAGCCGGAGUUCCGGAUGCCGCUCCUCACCAAGUUCCAGCGGCUAUUGCCGUCACCGUAGAGCGGGCCGUUAAAGGUCCGCGAGCGAGACUUCGUGGUGUGCAGGUUCUAUAGCCUAAAGAGGCUAGAGUUGAGGCACCAGUGGAAGCCCAAGGCCCCCCUCCGCAACUCGAGGGAGACACGUAACCCCUUUGACUGCCAGCUCUGUUCCUGAUUUCUACUCAACCAGCCGUGUGUAAACCUCAAACUCGUGAGCCCGCACCACUAGUCACUCUCCUUCUAACGUGCCGUUCAGCCCUGGUGGCAUUGGUAGCUCUUUGAGAAGAGGUGGAACGGCCAAGCCCCGUUCCUCAAAUCAUCCUUAUAGUCCUUCCUCAUGCCCUUUCACUAGAGGAACGAUGUACGAAUGCGGAAUUAACGGUUUCCCCAGUCUAAUGAAACGUGUUUAUGACACCCGUUCUUAAGAUUUUACCACCACCAAUUUUGAGUUCCUUCGUCAAGUGACUUCCUGUUAUAGUAAUGCCAGAAACCAAACUUGUGAAAGUUUACGGACCUCGGGAAGUUGGACCGGGAGAGACUUCCGACAGUCCAUCUUCCAAAGGAAAGGUUCGGACCUGGCCCGUGACCAGCGUUAAGUCCUCUAUCCGUUAAGAAGAUACAUUUACCGUCUGGGCACCUGUACGGUUUCCAGUGGUUUGAACAAUUACUUGACAUGUCCUCAAGGUUAAGGUCCGUUAUGGGACACCGACAGGAUUUAAAAACGUAGGGUUGGUGUAGAAUACUACACUUACAGCGUGGACUAUUCUCCUUUUAAAAGAAGAGUAGACUCGUAUGAUAAAACAAUAGAAAUGCCCUCCGAUAACUUUUAGACAUGUCGGGAGUUGUCACGUCAAAAAGGUAGUUAGUGUAACUUCUAGGACUUUUCCAGUUAGUGUGACUUCUAGGACAUUUCCUUCUACUGGGAUACUAACUACUUGGAUAAUUUUCGUGUAUAAAUUACCUGUUCCUUUUACAAAGUAGCGGACUUUUACUAUUGACGUUCCUUCUGUGUCUAUCACUACUAGUCCUGGGUGACUUCCUAGUCUUUCACUCAAGAAGACGCUGUUCCCGUCGGUGACCUCGACGUAGAUCUCUGUACUCGGGGAACGGUUCCUCGGGUCUGUGACUCCAACUAUCUAGAGGAACCAAAAGUCGUAACGCCAUACUCGUCGGUUUUUCUGGGGCACGACUAAAAUUUUUAUUAGGUCAUUCUCUUUUAUUACAAUCUUGUCCCGAACGACGAGUUAGGAGGGGAAGUUGAUAACAAGUCAGAAGAGAAUACUUGAAAGAUAGUGAUUUGUUCUCCUUCGUACUUCUGUCAACGUUAGAAUAAUGACUUCGAGGUCACGACUCUUCCCCAUGUACGAGUCCCGUUCACUCUUCUUGUUCAAAUCUUCGUUUACGUGGACCAUAAAGUCUACGGUUGAGUGAAGUCGUUUAAUCGGACACCCUAGUAAGAGGUGUUGGAAAACAUGGAUUCUCCUGUCUUCAAAGUAAUGUCGUAAGACUUGGAGGAUUACAACCCAGAGGACCAUGACUUCGAGGUCACGACUCUUCUCCAUGUACGAGUCCCGUUCACUCUUCUUGUUCAAAUCUUCGUUUACGUGGACCAUAAAGUCUACGGUUGAGUGAAGUCGUUUAAUCGGACACCCUAGUAAGAGGUGUUGGAAAACAUGGAUUCUCCUGUCUUCAAGGUAAUUUCGUAAGACUUGGUGGAUUACAACCCAGAGGAUCAUGACUUCGCGUAGAGGAGUUAGGUACACUACAGGUGUCAUGUCUUAAACUACGCCUACUUGUUUUACCAGCUGCGGAAAGUUUAAAACCACGAGGGCUAGUUACAAACUUCCUAUGGCUUGGGGGUUUAUGUGGCAGGUUAUAUUGAAAUGAACUACCAGUACUAUUACUGUGAAGCCACACGAGAUGUAGUCAUAGAAUAAGUCACGUCAAAUGUUAACUAUUCGAAUCCUCUUCUUCUUUUGCGCCAAAAUAACAUAGUGUACUUUUGUCUCAGGUAACAAGACUCUUUUGACGUUCCACAAUAUUUCGGCGUUGUGACCUAUUAAUACAUGGUUUACUGCUGCUCCCUUUUAGAUUAAUAAAUCGACGUCGGUGGUUACUCAACCUGUCCAAAAAGUCGUUUCUAUUAAAACCUCUUUACUUCCAACAACCCGUCAAAUUAGAGCCAAAAUAGUAGCCUUUCGACCUUGUUCUGGAUAAAUAACAUCUAGUCGUACGACGACUACUCUUCAUGUUGAAACUCUCGGACAGUGUCAGUUGUUGCAAUUUGUAUGUCGGAGAAGAAGUCGGUGACUCUGAACUUGAAAGUGGCCUCCUUCUUCAAUAGCAUAGAUACGUGUACUUGUGAUAGUCCCAAGCACGGUACAAGCGAAGCUCCCGAACGGCUUACAGAUGAUACUAACCGCUAGGUGAUUGCUUUUGGCUUUACUUCUUCUAUGACUUUUUAGACUGUCCUGAUUCCAGGGGAACCUUAACGGGCGUGCCCUCCGGCUGUUACGCCGUAGAACGUCUAGACUGAUCAUAUUCCAAGUUUCUUCGUUUAACUUCGCCACGACUCUUCAAAGUAACGCAUUUUCCUUCUUUUAGGUAACUGCGAGUACUCCUAAAAUAGCCGUUGAGGAACCCAAGUGCCCUUAUACCGUCCUAGACCCCACUGCAAAACUGUUAACAAGUUCACUGACCGCCAGCGCACCGAACAAAAGGCGACGAUGCCUCUCGGGCGAACCUUAUAGCAAAGGGGAGGAAUUUUGUAACCGACCAAUCUUUUGCAGCCCAUCCGAACAUUCUCCACCAACCAAGUAACAUAAUCCGGACAUUACAAAUGCGAACAUAGGAGCAAAUCCGAGCAUUAGUCGGCUAAAUACCAACGACGACAAUAUGUGGACACUCGAUUUACGUCAACAUAUUUCAAUGUGGUCAAGAUUUGCCUCGGACUCCCGCUCGAACCCUUGCCAGUUGUCACAUAAGUUUACGCCUCCACAAAUUGAAUGCGGACAUAGUAUGGCCGGUGACUCAUUAAAACUCGACCUUUGUCUUACUUCUCCGUUCCUUAUAUAAAAAACGUCCCCAUAA
rnacentral:rRNA from 1 species